rnacentral:rRNA from 1 species
UACGGAGGAUGCGAGCGUUAUCCGGAUUUAUUGGGUUUAAAGGGUGCGCAGGCGGAUUUUUAAGUCAGCGGUCAAAUCGUGGGGCUCAACCCCAUCCAGCCGUUGAAACUGGGGAUCUAGAGUGUGCGAGAGGUAUGCGGAAUGCGUGGUGUAGCGGUGAAAUGCAUAGAUAUCACGCAGAACCCCGAUUGCGAAGGCAGCAUACCGGCGCCCGACUGACGCUGAGGCACGAAAGCGUGGGUAUCGAACAGG